rnacentral:rRNA from 1 species
UACGGAAGGUGCAAGCGUUAGUCGGAAUUACUGGGCGUAAAGGGUGCGUAGGCGGUACUAUAAGUCGGGCGUGAAAUUCCGGAGCUUAACUUCGGAACGGCGUACGAUACUGUAGUACUUGAGGAAUGGCGGAGAAAAUGGAAUUCCAUAUGUAGCGGUGAAAUGCGUAGAUAUAUGGAAGAACACCUGUGGCGAAAGCGGUUUUCUAGCUUCCUCCUGACGCUGAGGCACGAAAGCAAGGGGAGCAAACAGG